CCCUGAUGCAGCCAUGCCGCGUGUGUGAAGAAGGCCUUCGGGUUGUAAAGCACUUUCAGUAGGGAGGAAGGUAGUGUAGUUAACACCUGCAUUAUUUGACGUUACCUACAGAAGAAGCACCGGCUAACUCCGUGCCAGCAGCCGCGGUAAUACGGAGGGUGCGAGCGUUAAUCGGAAUUACUGGGCGUAAAGCGCAUGCAGGCGGCCUGUUAAGUCAGAUGUGAAAGCCCGGGGCUUAACCUCGGAAUUGCAUUUGAAACUGGCAGGCUAGAGUCUUGUAGAGGGGGUAGAAUUUCAGGUGUAGCGGUGAAAAUGCGUAGAGAUCUGAAGGAAUACCAGUGGCGAAGGCGGCCCCCUGGACAAAGACUGACGCUCAGAUGCGAAAGCGUGGGGAGCAAACAGGAUUAGAUACCCUGGUAG
rnacentral:rRNA from 1 species